GUGGGGAAUCUUGCACAAUGGGGGAAACCCUGAUGCAGCGACGCCGCGUGAGCGAUGAAGCCCUUCGGGGUGUAAAGCUCUUUCGGCAGGGACGAUUAUGACGGUACCUGCGGAAGAAGCUGCGGCUAACUACGUGCCAGCAGCCGCGGUAAUACGUAGGCAGCAAGCGUUGUUCGGAAUUACUGGGCGUAAAGAGUGCGUAGGCGGUUGGCUAAGUUUGGUGUGAAAUCUCCCGGCUCAACUGGGAGGGUGCGCCGAAAACUGGCUGGCUAGAGUGUGGGAGAGGAAAGUGGAAUUCCUGGUGUAGCGGUGAAAUGCGUAGAUAUCAGGAGGAACACCUGCGGUGUAGACGGCUUUCUGGACCACGACUGACGCUGAGGCACGAAAGCGUGGGUAGCAAACAGGAUUAGAAACCCGUGUAGUCC
rnacentral:rRNA from 1 species